GCCCAAACUAGACAUUAUUCUCUGUCGAUUUCUGUUUGAUUUAUUUUACAGUUUAAAUGUAUUAUGGUAUCUGGUUUAUCUAUUCUAUGGUUUUAAAUGCAUGUAUCACUUACUUCACUACUGUUUGAUUUGGUGACGUAGAUUUAGGACAAACAAGAAUGGGAUGUGAUCUGAUAUAUGGAUAAGAUGACAGCCUCACUAGAUAUCCUAGGAGAUGGUAGACGAA
rnacentral:lncRNA from 1 species